GCCUUGAUUAGCUCAGUUGGUUCGAGCAUGGUGCUAAUAAUUCCAAGGUCGUGUUCAAUCCCCAUAUGGGCC